rnacentral:lncRNA from 1 species
UGUUGAGUUGGCUAACAUAGUCAUCAAUAAACAUUAAGAUCAUGUAACAAAAAGGGAUUACAACAUCUAUAGGGUUAAGCACAACUUCUAAUCCUCAAUAUCAUUAUACAUAACAUAACUAUUCAGUUAUACAUCAUCUUACAAUUUAUCAUGUCCACUUUCUAACUAUUACAAUUACAAGACUUUACUCUUCUUGACUUCUCUGUCUAGUCCGUACCUGCAAUCCUGGGGGAUUAGGGAAAAGGGGUGAGCUACUCGAGCCCAGUGAGCAGAAUAAUAGAAAACAUCAUUUAAAUCUCAUGCCAUCAUGUAAUGCAACACAUCACAACAAAUCACAUCUCGGAUGGUAUUGUCACCAAUAGUCCUCUACAUUCCAAAGUGCCGGGACGUAGAAUGGGUACAACCGGUCUUUCUCUUAACAUAACAUAUCAUACAUACCAAUGUGCCAGGGACGUAGAAUGGGUACAACCUGGACUUUCUCUUACAUAGUGCCAGGGACGUAGAAUGGGUACAACCUGGACUUCCAUACCAUAUCAUGCCGUAGCAUCAUCAUGCCAUAUGAGGACUAAAGGAUCAUUCAAUAACCAAUCCACAUCAAAAUCAUAAAUGCAAUGCAACAUAUUCGUGAAUUCUAAUGCAAACAACCUAAUUCAUC